UGGACUGCUAUCUUAAUGCAUGGAGGUUC
rnacentral:piRNA from 1 species